UUGGGUUGACUUUUUGACUUGAGUUAAAGAUCUUAGCUUUAUCUUUUGGAAUCACUUCCUAUGGCUUUUAUUGAUAGUAUUACGUUAUUUUGGCUAGAUUCGAGCCUUUCGAAGGUUGAUACAUGCAGCAAGGGCUUGUUAGCGGAGUGAUUUGGUUUGCUUAAGGUGCUGGAGACUCGAAUGGUCGGUGUAGACUUCACACGGAACGUUGUACAGAUAGUGCCACUAAAUCAAGCAAAAGUACAAGAAUCCUCCCAUUUACAUCACUGAAAAUGGAAUGGCUGAUGCCAACAAUAGUACAUUGCCACUUAAAUAAGCCCUUAAGGAUGAUUUGAGGAUAAGGUAUUACGAGGGACACCUAUGGUUUUUGUCAAAAGCCAUAAAGGCGGGGGCAAAUGUGAAAGGACAUUUUGCAUGGUCAUUAUUAGAUGACUAUGAAUGGGAUGCUGGUUUCACUGUCCGAUUUGGCAUCAGUUUUGUUGACUACAAAAAUGGACUUAAAAGAUACCUCAAGAAAUCUGCUUAUUGGUACAAGAAGUUCCUCUUGAAUACUGGCAAAUAAAUAUGAGUCUGACUUGGCUCCUGCCUCUUCAAAUUACUACCUAGCCAUUCUUCUGCAAUUUAUAAUUCACGUCUGUUUUUUUUUUAAAUGUUCUUUUUAACUUAAAGAGUAUUCUUGUGAGGAUCUUCUCUUAUGUCAUGCGUUAAGUAAAAUAAACUGAGGAAUGCCUCAUUAUCAUUUGUACUACUGUCAUUCAUAACCUACUAGCUUACAACGGGA